UGGAAGAUCCCAUUGAUUUGA
rnacentral:piRNA from 1 species